CUGCUCCCACGGUGUCCUUACCAGCACAACUUACCCCAUCCCUCCCUAGCCCACUCUUGAGGAUACUUUCUUGCCACUGUCAGGCUUACUCCUGCCUCCUAGACUGAGGAAAGAAAAGCCUCCUGGUUUGGAGCUCAUAAUCAAGUCAGCCUUGCUGCAGGGCUCAUUUUAAGCCAGUAUCCUGGACCAGAUAAGGAAGCUGAAGCUUUGAGAAUUUAAUUUGCUCAAGGGGAGGCCAGGACAAGAAAUAAUGAAGAGUCCGAUGUGGCAGGAAUGUAGGAAACAAGUCAAUGAUGGAAGAUAAAUAUGGAGACGUGAUGAAGGCAAAAUUCUGAAGGGUCUUAGAGCCCAUUAUAAGACGUUUGGUUUUUAUGACUAUGCCGUGCAAGACUUGGUAAACUGGUCCCUACCGCAGAGGAUUUUAUACAGAGCACGCUAGUGGCUCACAGGUAGUGUCUUAUUGAAUGUUGAAUUUCCACACUUUUGACUGCAUGAAUCAGUAAAUACUUGGGUUUAUUUUGCCACAUAGAGGUCUACAUUGGUUUGAUACAAGUAAAUAGCAAUAAUGAUAAGAGUCACUGCCAUUAAUGGAGUGUCUCCUUGAUACCAGACACUGUCUCAGAUAACUUGAAUUAACUCUUUAAACCCACAUGGCCCUGGUCCUGAAAGGUGGUAUUAUUCAUUUUUAUAGAUGAGGAAACUGAGACACAGGCAACACUACUUCAACAUUGGCCCCAAACCAUUUUUAUUUGCCCUGAGUAAUUUGCUAGUUCUCCUCUUUCAGUAUGCCAGUCUUCUCUAUCCAUUGGUCUAUAGUUGGUUGCAAUUCGUCUUUGUCACCUGUUCCUGACACUGACCAAUUACUGACCAUAUCUCCCUAUUCUCUGCCAUGUGAUAACCUUUGGUUCUCCCAAAUAAACUCUUUCCUUAUCUCUACUCUAUUGAAACCAACCACCCCUCUCUCCACACAGAAUAUUUCACUGAUUGCCUUGCCCGCUUCUCAAAGGCCCACUUCUCUGUGGAAUGAUGCAGUUGCUAAGAAGAGCUGUUAAUGUCAUGACCUCAAUGAAUAAAAAAGACUUCCUUUUCUCCAUGCCCACUCAAGUAAAAGGCUUCUCUCUGAACUCCUGCUAAUUUUUCAUCAGCAAAGGUGCACAGCCUUUUGGAAGUGAAAUGAUUACUAGUGAAGAAAAAGAAAGAACCUAACACUUAUUUUACAAGCCUCCCAGUGACCACUCUUCAGACAAAACUUCUUAUAAUAGCUUCCUUCCCUGAAUCUUUUGCGAAACAUCAAAUCACAAAGAGAUCUUAUUAUGCCAUUAAGAAUAUUUAAUUCAUGGGAGGAGGUCAAAAUAUCAACAUUAGCUGGAUUUUGGAAAAAGUGGAUUCCAACCCUCAGUGGACGACUUUGUGGAAUUCAAGACUCCAAUAGAGGAAGUCACCACAAAUAGCAAAAGAACAAGAAUUACCUGUGCAGCCUGAAGACGGGACUGAAUUGCUGCAAUUGUAACAUCAAAUGUUAAAUCUGAACCAGACCAUGUCCUGAAACAAAAGAGGAAGAAUCUUUGGGGAGCUGUGCUGAUGGUUUUGGAUUUCUCCAAAGGAAGAAUGCUUUGCCUGAGUCUUGUAUCCUUGGAAUUAUUAGGAAUGUUUGCCAUUAAAUAAGAUCUGAUUCAUGUGAGUUUGAGUUGACAGCUCUACCCUAUGUGUUAUCUCAGAACUCUAUACAGCAAACUAUAGAAUAUUGUUGAGAUAAAUUAAAUGAAACCUUUCCAAAUGGAAAGAUAUAUAUCAUUUUAUAGAUUGGAAAACUUAAUACUAAAAAGUGAUAGAUUCAAUACAAUGGAAUCUAUUGUUUCUAAAAUGUGCAUUUGUGUUAGUUUAUGUAUGUAUAUAAAAAUUGAAAAGCUAAUUUUAAAAAUACACAUGAAAAUAAAAGGGCCAAGAAGAACUGAGACAUUCUUGUGGAAGAUGUCAAUUCUUGCUGUACAGAUGCUAAGAUUACUAUAAGGCUUUAGUCAUUAAGGCAGAGUGGUAUUCCCUCAAAAAUUGACACACCACUGAAACAGAAUUGAAGGACAAAAAAGC
rnacentral:lncRNA from 1 species